rnacentral:rRNA from 1 species
AGAGGAUGAUCAGCCACACUGGGACUGAGACACGGCCCAGACUCCUACGGGAGGCAGCAGUGGGGAAUAUUGCACAAUGAGGGAAACCUUGAUGCAGCCAUGCCGCGUGUGUGAAGAAGGCCCGAGGGUUGUAAAGCACUUUCAAUUGUGAGGAAGAUUAAGUAGCUAAUACCUGCUUAGUUUGACGUUAACUUUAGAAGAAGCACCGGCUAACUCUGUGCCAGCAGCCGCGGUAAUACAGAGGGUGCAAGCGUUAUUCGGAAUUACUGGGCGUAAAGCGCGCGUAGGCGGACUGUUAAGUCGGUUGUGAAAGCCCUGGGCUCAACCUAGGAACUGCAUCCGAUACUGGC